GAUGGACAUCAUUGUGGCAUGUCAAGGACAGAGUCAACCACUUUUGUCUUGUUGCAGAGAUGGGAUGACCCAUCUGCAUUCCAAGACCAUUGACACAGAGAGGGAGACUGCCCUUUAAACCUGUGAGCACAUGAAGGAGGAAAAGCAACAAUCUUGAUAAGAAGUGACCUCCAAGGCCACCUUGACUUGCAUUCAUGCUGUCCAGAGUUCCUGCAGCGCUGCGAUUCUUCUCAUCACAGUGACACAUUUUGGGAAUUAUCCCUAAAUGCUCUCCUGGAGUUCCACUACCAGAGCUGCAUCUGGAGCCCUGAACUUCCCCUGCCAAUGGGUCCUUCAACUCAGAGGAGGAAGAGACACCAAGGAUGGCGGGGGAGGCCUUUGUCCAAGCUGAGGUCUGGAAAACACUCCGCUCCUGGCCCACAUACAGGCACUGGACGACAAAACCAAUGAUCACUUUGUCACAUGAAGUCCAUCACACAUCAGCAAUGAAGAACCUUGUGCCGUGAACCUUGAUGAAAUAUCAGGUUCUUUUGAAGAGGAUGGAGUGGUGAUCUAUGAUGUUGACACACUCAGAUCAGUAAGCGUCCUCUGGAAGUGUAGUGCUUCUUUGAGAAUACUACACUCAAGAAAAAAACAAGACAAAAGGGAAACCAGUCUGGCCAGGAGGACGCUGCCUCCUCAUGAAUAUCUAUGGAAUGACUGCCUGGACUAGGAGGGCAUGGUUCUCUCUUUUUAAAAAGGCCAGACGUCCACUCUGGUUUCCCAGCAGGCCAAAUGUACUGUUGCAGUAACUGUGUGCACUUAGAAAAAGUAAGUAGCAUUAAAAAUGGCAGCAUAAACUGGGCAUGCACAGUUUUGUUAAGCCCUUUAAAAGUUAUGUCACAGAAAUAGAAAAUCUGGGGGAUAUCAGAGGUCAGUAAGUGGGUAGGAACUGGUAGCAGAGAUAGAAAAAUGCUUCAUUCAAAUGUUCCUCCAUGUAGGCCACCCAAAUAAGAAAAUUCUAGUAGGGCUGUAGUCAACCAAAGAAAAACUUGGUCGACUGAAAUUGCACCAGAUCAUCAAUUAAUCGAUUGGUCGUGGGACAGACAAAAAAAAAAACCUUCAUGUCAUUUUUACAUCAAACUUAAAACUGACAUUGUAGUCACUGUAUUUAAGUGGUAAUUAAAAUUCAAAAUGAACCCAACAUGAACUUAAAAAUCUUACAAUUUUUGCAGUAUAACCAUCUUAUGUUGUAAUUAAAUAAUCCUUUUUAACAAUGUUGCCACACCACUGACUUUUUUGACAUGUCGUCAGUUAACGGGAAACGGAGUAUAAACGUGCUUCACAGGCUUUGGUGGGAGGGUCCUAGUGACGUUGUUUGGACUUUCUGGGUAUUUAACCUGUAAUUAAUUACCCUUAAAGGCACAAGUAAAUUAUAUUUGAGUAGUUAUAUUCAUAGUUAUUUUUUUU